UCUGCUCUGUUCCCGUUUGUAUUUAUCAGCUCAGCUGUAGAGGGACCUCAAGUACAACCACAGUAAUGUGACACUCCCACAUCUUCAUCUCUCUGUAAUAUCAGACCUCCCCUCACACAUUCUGACAGUGACUCUGGUCUAUAAGUUCAGAUUAUUCACAACAACAUGAUGAUCACAACUGCUCUGAUCCAACUCUCUGCAGCUCUGCUCUGUAUUGGAGGUCUAACUGAUGGAGGUGAUGUCACUCAGACUCCUCUGCUGUGGAAGAACUAGAGUGACUCUGCCACCAUGAACUGCAGUCACACUAAGGAUGCUACUUACUACCAGAUGUACUGGUACAGACAGCGACCUGGAGAGUUCAUGAAACUAAUCGUCCUGACAACCUUAACUCCACCACAUAAGUAUGAAAGUGGAUUCAACCAGGAGAAAUUUCCACUGGUGAAGAACAAUGCUCAGACUGGAUCUCUGACGGUGAAGGAACUGCUGGCUGAAGACAGUGGAGUGUAUUUCUGUGCUGUGAGUCAACACAGUGAUACAGAUGAAGCAGACAGCUGAACAAAAACCCCAAAUCCAUCUUUUGGCAGAUUUAUUUCUUGUGCUGUAGGGGGGACGUCAAGAGCCGCACACACUCUCAGAUUCUAACGUGAUUAGACAACGUCACGCUCUGCAGAGACACUCCCACCUGCAACUCUUCUCAUCACACACACAGACUCUGGUUUGAAAUCAGUUUGCUCUGAACACCAUAAUGAUCACAGCUGCUCUGGUCCAACUGUCUGCAGCUCUGCUCUGUAGUGGAGGCCUAAUUUAUGCGAGUGACAUCACCCAGACUCCUGAGCUGUAGGGGAAACAGGGUUCGUCUGCCACCGUGAACUGCAGUCACACUAAAGGUGAAACAUAUCGGCAGAUGUACUGGUACAGACAGCGGCCUGGAGAGUUGAUGAAGCAAAUCGUUCUCUCGACCGCAUACAGCGCUCCAAGUUAUGAAAGUGGAUUCAACCAGGAGAAAUUUCCAGUGAUGAAGAACAAUGCUCAGACUGGAUCUCUGACGGUGAAGGAGCUGCUGGCUGAAGACAGUGGAGUGUAUUUCUGUGCUGUGAGUGAACACAGUGAUACAGGUGAUAGAGACAGCUGAACAAAAACCCAACUAUUGGACUCAAGUCAGUGUCUUUAAUGACCUGUAGGGGGAGCUAUAGAAAUGUGGAGGACAGAGCCGUAUGUUAGAGAGAGUCUGGCCAAAUUAAAUCAUAGGCGCCAUGUUUGCUACAUCAGAGGGAAGAUUCUACAGUGUAACCCUAUGGAGCAGAUGUGUUGUGGUGAAAUAAAUGUCUAAUUUUCACCAUUAACAGUCCAUUACCUUUUAUUUAUUGUUCUUGUUCAGUGUUUGUGGUCGUGAUGGCUUUGCUUUGUAAUUUUUUUUACCAUUGG